AUUGAACGCUGGCGGCAUGCCUAACACAUGCAAGUCGAACGGCAGCACGGCAGUAGCAAUACUGUGGGUGGCGAGUGGCGGACGGGUGAGGAAUACGUCGGAAUCUGCCCAGUCGUGGGGGAUAACUAGCCGAAAGGUUAGCUAAUACCGCAUACGACCGAGAGGUGAAAGCGGGGGACCGCAAGGCCUCGCGCGAUUGGAUGAGCCGACGUCGGAUUAGCUAGUUGGUGGGGUAAAGGCCCACCAAGGCGACGAUCCGUAGCUGGUCUGAGAGGAUGAUCAGCCACACUGGAACUGAGACACAGUCCAGACUCCUACGGGAGGCAGCAGUGGGGAAUAUUGGACAAUGGGCGCAAGCCUGAUCCAGCAAUGCCGCGUGUGUGAAGAAGGCCUUCGGGUUGUAAAGCACUUUUAUCAGGAACGAAAAGCGUUGGAUUAAUACUCUGACGUGCUGACGGUACCUGAGGAAUAAGCACCGGCUAACUUCGUG
rnacentral:rRNA from 1 species